AUUUAGCUUGUUGUUGCCGCUGAAGAAUAAUUUAAAAUAAUUUAUCUCUAAUUUCUCCCUGUAGAGCCUGGUCACCACUCCUCGUCCCAGCCGCUGUCAAAGACUUCCAGCUCUGUGUCUCUCUACAGCACGGGGUCAGAGGGCACCGCCAUCUUUGGUCAAUCAAACGGAGCCUCUGCCUCGUCCUCCACCAAUGACCUGGCUGCUUCUCUGCUCUCUGCGCUGCAGGCCGAUGGCCUGGAGAACUUUAACCCCUUCCUCCCCAUCAACCUCCUGCAGUGAGUACAGAUCCAUACAUAGAAAUAGAAUCUAUGUCAUUCUAUUUCUAUGCUAUGGUACGUUUAGUCAUUAGUGAAGGUUAAUGUCCGAAUCACAGUAGUUCUUAGUCCUUUUCAGGGUACACACACACACACACACACACACACACACACACACACACACACACACACACACUUUCCAUUGACAGCCUGGGUUGUUGAUGUUCCUGCUCCAGAUCCAUAUCAGUCAGCAGCUCGUCUGAGACACAGAAGACUCAGAGUGGUGGUGAGUGUGUGAAAUGAGACUGUGCUCUGUCUAACCCUCCCAAGGCUUCAGCUCUGUUGCAACUCCUCCUGGUUCUGAUCUAACUGCUGGCUUCCCAAAGACGAGCAGACUUACAGCACAGUUCAACUCUAUGAGGCGGUUUCCUGGACAUUUUCAAUGGAACAAUCGGCCCUACAUGUUAAACGUUUUCUACCUCUGAUGAUGAGGCUAUGAAGAGAAUUGGAAGCCUCUAAUUGUCACUGUACUCCAUUCUGUGGGCUCCCUUUGUCCAGGAACUUCUAGUCCACACACAACCAGUGGUGCCUCUGUAUCUCAGCUGUCUUUGUGCUAAAUGCAGCCCACUACCACUGUGUUGUUGGCUUGGCUUCCUCUAGGCGGAUGGUGUUAGCACGGUUCCCUACCCUGGCCGGCCUGGUUAAUAACCCCCCCAUGUUGCACGGUCCUGGCCCAGGCUUCGGCCUUGCCACCUCGUCUUCCUGUGAGGGCUUCACAGAGCAGCAGACCAGCUUCAUGGAGCCCUGCGCUAAUUCUCAGGCCAGGAGCCGUGGCGCGGAACGGCCUCAAAUGUUUGUCCCAGUCCGCUUACUAGAAAUGGGCUUCUCUAUGAGACAUAUCUACAAGGCCAUGGAGGCAGCAGGUAUUGCUGUCGCUGCGCUCUGUGUGUUAAGUGUGGUGUGUACUGUGCUCCAUCCGCUUUCUGUGUUGUAGACUUGUUCCUGCUUUUCCAGAGGGGUCUGGGUUUCUUUCUUUUAGGCCUACUGUCUUUCCUCUGUGCAUGCGGUCUAUCGAAACGGGUCGUAGUAUAGACACCAGUAUUUUACAAAUCAGGGGUUGGAACCAAAAUUAUUUCCCAAUAGUUUCGUUCUGAAAAUAACUAUUUUAUUAAUUCCAUUCCACUGUUCUGACAAGGAAAAUAACGUUCUGAACCGUUUCGGACCCCAAAAAAGUUAGUUUAUAUAUAUAUAUUUUUUAACCUUAAAUUACUUCACUAAUCAGUGCGGAUAGAGCAGCUUGCUAUGGUGCGGGC
ensembl:lncRNA